GUUUCAUGGAAGAUGGACGUCCCAAUGACAGGUUAAAACACUAUGUGAGAAGGCAAAAGAGAUAUUGAUGAAGGAAAGUAAUGUUCAUGUCGAAAUGUGAUCCGAAUCCGUUACCAACUCUGCUAGACGUAGUGGGAUAGGUUUGGGUUUUGUUCGUAUAGGAGUUGAACUCGUUUUUUCUUAUCCUAUUAGGACUCAUGUUUAUUGUCCGUUAUAUAUACUCCGUGUAGUCACACGUAAAGACGGUCUGUCGUCUCGUGCUUGUAAUACUCCAACAUAGUGAAGUUGCGCCUUCGUGCGUCCGUGGUUUUUCC